GAUCAAGUGUCUUAAGGGCAUUUGGUGGAUGCCUUGGUAUGCACAGGCGAUGAAGGACGUGAUACGCUGCGAAAAGCCGUGGGGAGCUGCGAAUAAGCUUUGAUCCAUGGAUAUCCGAAUGGGGAAACCCACCUUAGAUAUCUAGAAAAUCAUUCCGGUUGGAAUGAUUUGUCUGGAAUUAUUUGAUCUCACGCCCCGUACCGCAGGUCUUCGACCUGCUGGGGCUGCGAUGGCGCGCCGCAUCAGCGGCGACGGCCGGUCGGCCUUGCGGUGCUUAGCACCGAAUUCUUUUUCCACGUUGGUUUGGGAAAUGAAAUCCGAAGGAGCCACGCUCCUGAGGCAAGCGCGACUGCGCGUCGGCCAUUUUUGGCCGCCCCGUCCGGAGCGAAGCGAUCGAAGAUCGCGACAGCGUGAGGACAAAACAGAUCAGUCGGGUUGCCGAUAGGCAACCGGAAUGGUUUCUAGAUAUCGCUAAAAGGUAUCUUAAUCUGAAUACAUAGGGUUAAGAAGCGAACGCGGGGAACUGAAACAUCUAAGUACCCGUAGGAAAGGACAUCAAUCGAGACUCCGCAAGUAGUGGCGAGCGAACGCGGAUGAGGCCAGUGGCAAUGAUGAAUGAAGCAGAACAGGUUGGGAAGCCUGGCGAGAUGGGUGAUAGCCCCGUAUGCGUAGAACAGUCAUUGUCCUUGAGUAGGGCGGGACACGUGAAAUCCUGUUCGAACAUGGGGCGACCACGCUCCAAGCCUAAGUACUCGUGCAUAACCGAUAGCGAACCAGUACCGUGAGGGAAAGGUGAAAAGCACCCCGACAAGGGGAGUGAAAGAGAACCUGAAACCGGAUGCCUACAAACAGUCGGAGCCCGUUCUUCAAAUUCUUCGAAUUUGAGAACGUUUUUUAUGUCUCGCGCCCCGUACCGCAGGUCUUCGACCUGCUGGGGCUGCGACGGCGCGCCGCAUAAGCGGCGACGGCCGGUCGGCCUACGGGCGCCAAUUGGCGUCGUUGUAGCGCGACCGCGCGUCGGCCAUUAUUGGCCGCCCCGUCCGGAGCGAAGCGAUCUAGGAUCGCGACAGCGUGAGGACAGAAGAUACGGCGAACAAAUGCGAAGCAUUUGAUGAGCGGGUGACGGCGUACCUUUUGUAUAAUGGGUCAACGACUUAGUGUAUCUAGCAAGCUUAAGCCGGUAGGUGGAGGCGCAGCGAAAGCGAGUCUUAAUAGGGCGAUUGAGUUAGAUGCAUUAGACCCGAAACCGAGUGAUCUAGCCAUGAGCAGGUUGAAGGUUGGGUAACACCAACUGGAGGACCGAACCCGCAUCUGUUGCAAUAGAUUGGGAUGACUUGUGGCUAGGGGUGAAAGGCCAAUCAAACUCGGAGAUAGCUGGUUCUCCGCGAAAUCUAUUUAGGUAGAGCGUUGAAUGAAUACCCUCGGGGGUAGAGCACUGGAUGGGCUAUGGGGACUCACCGUCUUACUGAUCCUAACCAAACUGCGAAUACCGAGGAGUACUGUUCAGCAGACACACGGCGGGUGCUAACGUCCGUCGUGAAAAGGGCAACAACCCUGACCUCCAGCUAAGGUCCCCAAGUCAUGGCUAAGUGGGAAAGGAUGUGAGGAUCCCAAAACAACCAGGAUGUUGGCUUAGAAGCAGCCAUCAUUUAAAGAAAGCGUAACAGCUCACUGGUCUAAAUAAGGGUCUUUGCGCCGAAAAUGUACCGGGGCUCAAGCCAUGCACCGAAGCUGAGGAUGUGGAUUUAUCCACGUGGUAGCGGAGCGUUCCGUAGGCUGAUGAAGGGAGACCCGUGAGGGCUCCUGGAGGUAUCGGAAGUGCGAAUGUUGACAUGAGUAACGAUAAAGAGGGUGAGAGACCCUCUCGCCGAAAGACCAAGGGUUCCUGCUUAAAGUUAAUCUGAGCAGGGUUAGCCGGCCCCUAAGACGAGGCGGAAACGCGUAGUCGAUGGGAACCACGUUAAUAUUCGUGGGCCAGGCGGUGGUGACGGAUUGCACAAAUCGUACAUUCUUAUUGGAUUGAGUGUGCGGUGGAGCGGUUCCAGGAAAUAGCCCCGUCGUGAGACCGUACCCGAAACCGACACAGGUGGUCAGGUAGAGUAUACCAAGGCGCUUGAGAGAACUGCGUUGAAGGAACUCGGCAAAUUGCACGCGUAACUUCGGAAGAAGCGUGACCCUUUGAUACGCAAGUAUCGGAGGGUGGCACAGACCAGGGGGUAGCGACUGUUUAUCAAAAACACAGGGCUCUGCGAAGUCUUUAAGACGACGUAUAGGGUCUGACGCCUGCCCGGUGCUGGAAGGUUAAGAGGAGAUGUGCAAGCAUUGAAUCGAAGCCCCAGUAAACGGCGGCCGUAACUAUAACGGUCCUAAGGUAGCGAAAUUCCUUGUCGGGUAAGUUCCGACCUGCACGAAUGGCGUAACGACUUCCCCGCUGUCUCCAACGCAGACUCAGUGAAAUUGAAUUCCCCGUGAAGAUGCGGGGUUCCUGCGGUCAGACGGAAAGACCCCGUGCACCUUUACUAUAGCUUUACACUGGCAUUCGCCAAGGCAUGUGUAGGAUAGGUGGUAGGCUUUGAAGCAGGGACGCCAGUUCUUGUGGAGCCAUCCUUGAAAUACCACCCUUAUCUUCGUGGAUGUCUAACCGCGAUCCGUGAUCCGGAUCCGGGACAGUGUAUGGUGGGUAGUUUGACUGGGGCGGUCGCCUCCUAAAGAGUAACGGAGGCGCGCGAUGGUGGGCUCAGACCGGUCGGAAAUCGGUCGUCGAGUGCAAUGGCAUAAGCCCGCCUGACUGCGAGACUGACAAGUCGAGCAGAGACGAAAGUCGGUCAUAGUGAUCCGGUGGUCCCGCGUGGAAGGGCCAUCGCUCAACGGAUAAAAGGUACGCCGGGGAUAACAGGCUGAUGACCCCCAAGAGUCCAUAUCGACGGGGUUGUUUGGCACCUCGAUGUCGGCUCAUCGCAUCCUGGGGCUGGAGCAGGUCCCAAGGGUUUGGCUGUUCGCCAAUUAAAGCGGUACGUGAGCUGGGUUCAGAACGUCGUGAGACAGUUCGGUCCCUAUCUGCCGUGGGUGUAGGAAUAUUGACAGGAUCUGUCCCUAGUACGAGAGGACCGGGAUGGACGUAUCUCUGGUGGACCUGUUGUGGCGCCAGCCGCAUAGCAGGGUAGCUAUAUACGGAAUGGAUAACCGCUGAAGGCAUCUAAGCGGGAAACCAACCUGAAAACGAGUGUUCCCUAUCAGAGCCGUUGUAGACGACAACGUUGAUAGGCCGGGUGUGGAAGCGCAGCAAUGUGUGAAGCUUACCGGUACUAAUCGCUCGAUCGGCUUGAUCGU
rnacentral:rRNA from 1 species